rnacentral:rRNA from 1 species
CAGCCGCCACGGUAAUACAGAGGGUGCAAGCGUUAAUCGGAAUUACUGGGCGUAAAGCGCGCGUAGGUGGUUUGUUAAGUUGGAUGUGAAAUCCCCGGGCUCAACCUGGGAACUGCAUCCAAAACUGGCAAGCUAGAGUAUGGUAGAGGGUGGUGGAAUUUCCUGUGUAGCGGUGAAAUGCGUAGAUAUAGGAAGGAACACCAGUGGCGAAGGCGACCACCUGGACUGAUACUGACACUGAGGUGCGAAAGCGUGGGGAGCAAACGGGAUUAGAUACCCCUGUAGUCCCUGUCUCUUAUAC